rnacentral:misc_RNA from 1 species
GGGGAUUGAACCUGUACUUGUACUAUAGAGUAAUGGGUUUGGCCUUGCUUGGGCUGCACCCUGACUGGUCUGCGUGUACUGAUUUGGCAUUGCUUGUCCUGAUAACAUGGGAGCCUGUGGGAGCUGGAUUCCCAUUGCACCUGAAUUUGCACUUUGCACCAACUGGUUAGGCCUCUUUUUUUUCAACCAUAGGAGGCUGCUGGAACUG